GGGCCUGUAGCUCAGCCUGGUAGAGCGCUGCCCUUGCAAGGCGGAGGUCUCGGGUUCGAAUCCCGACGGGUCCA
rnacentral:tRNA from 1 species